GUGAAGACAGUCCCAUGGGUUUUGCGCAAACAGACUUUUUUCCACUUUAAAUGGCAAGCGUAGACAUGCUUGGAUUCUUGUAACUACGUUAAGAUUUGUAACUUUUCACCUCAUUUUCUAUCUCUGGCCAUGCCACCCUGUACAUGUCUGUUUUCAGAAGCUAAGUAGGGUGGGGACUGCCUAGGACUUGGAUGGCAGACCUUGUUUCCUUACUGAUCUCUGUUGAGAGUUUAUAGCUAAAGCUCACAGCUGAUCAUCUGUGCUGAAGCUCUUAGCUGUGAUCCAGCCACUGAUUAGGGGGGCCUAGAAAUACCCAGGUUAACUUCAGGUCUCAUUUAGCAUGUUUCUAGCCCUUUGUUUUGUUGCAAAGAAAGCCUUGCAAAUGGAAAACAUCUCCAGGCUCUCCAUAACUUUGGUAAAGCAAAACAGAGCAAAAGCAUUGGUCCUUUCUAGGUAGCAUCUGUGGCAAAUAUCAAACCACAAUUGUUUUGGCUGUGGUCCUGUCCUAUAAAGAUAGUGUGUAUAUAUAUAUACACACACACACAUACAUAAAAGUGUUUUUUCCCCCCAAAUAAUUCAACAGCUGAAGGGAUUUUGUCCAAACUUUGCAAAAAAGUGACCUUCCAGCAGUCAGCCAGCCAGCAUGGAAAAUUUCAGUCCCCAAAAUGAAAAUUUUGGCAAAUUAUGAGCAUGUGCAAACAGCGUAUUGGAACAGAAACUCUUGUGAUCUUGUUUAAGUACCAGCAACGACUGUUAAACCAUGUGGCCACCAAUGAAAUGCAGCCACUUCUGCGGUGGAAGGCAGGAACCAACCAGUUCAAAGUACUCUCCAAAGAGGAGAAAUUCUGGCUAAAGAUUUUCUUCCUCUCUUAUGAAAAGUGUGCUAAAAUCUCUAAUGUUCAUACAGAGCAGACCUGACCUGCUUUUUAAGGUCUCAUCCAAACUACUGCCACUUAGUAAAGUGCAUAGGACUGCGUAGUGGGGCAGAUUGGCUGCCCGGAGGGGGAGGGGCCCCUCAUUGAACCCUGGUGAGCAGAGCCACGCCACACUCAACCCUUCAGCUGGAAGUCAGUGGGCAGGACCAGAAGUAUAAAAGGCGGGCCGGAGAACUCAUUUGGGAGGCAGCCACCGGAGGAGCUAGACGUCUCCUGUGAGCUCCCGAGCAGGGAGGCUGCUGCAGACCCCAAGGGAGAUGAGGACUGGUCAGGGCCACUUAUAGACCUGAGCAUGGAGGAGCUGCAAGCGCUGAAAGAGGCCUUCUUCCCCAACGACCAGGAUGACCCUCUCCAGAUCCAGAGCCCGAUCCUGAAGACCAUGACCCAUUCGAGGAAGGAUCAGGCCCGUUACAUUGUAAGAUGUAUGGGGAAUUGGAUAAAGCAUGUCAUGGGGUUAGCUGCUCUUUAUGGGGAACCAGGGCCCAGUCUGCUCCUGACCACGUGAUAAAGGCCCCGCCGGGGGUAAGUUGCUGCCCCGAGUGGCUGAUUAAUAAAGGUUACUCAUGCGUAGUUAGAGGGCAGACCAAAGGCAGAUGGGAGGCUCCUGUGGAGCGGAGGGCAGCUCACAGGAGAAACCUGAGCCAGAGGGCUGAGCAGGGCUCUCUGCGGAACCCAUUGGGACAGCGAGCCUCUCAGAAGAGCUCAUGGAGACAGGCACCUCCUAGACAGAGGGCUGCAGUCUGCAGGCACCCAAAGGGACCUGGUCUCAGCCGGUGGUCACCCAGACACUGGCUGGAAGCCCAGACUCACCUGGAUCACCUGCUUUUCCUGGAGAAGGGUCACAGCGGACAGACUUCCCCGACCCCCUGGCUCCAGAGGAGGAUAUUACUCCAGCAGGGGCAAGAGGCACAACCCCAGGGCGGAUACUGGCACCAAGGGAACCCCAGGGGAAGAGCCUGGGUAGAGGGGAACAUAGGACUCAGGUGGGGGACAUGGGCUAAGAUGAACUCAUCACCUGCCGGGAUGUUGGGGUGAAAGUUUUGUUGAAGUUCUACCUGGGCUUUCCUGUUAAUAAAUGACACCCUCCACUAGGGGGUGCCCUUUAGCAUUUAACAGGCUGUUUGGACUUGCCACUACCCUGGGUGAGGGGAAAACAAAGGAAGGGCUGGCCUGCAACACCACACCUGCCCGCAUGGGGGCGCUCUGGAAUGACAAGGGGGUAAAGGAGUUUGCUCAUUAAGGCUGUUUUUAAAUAUAGCUGCAGGGUUUUCCGUCACCAGUCACUGACGAUGGAAGGCAGGAAUUGGAGAGAUGCUAAUAUCUAACGUACAGACAGACCCUGCAGUGGUUUUGCUCCCAUAGAGUUUGCUCCAGUCCCAUAUGACACAUCUGUGGUAGACUAGACUCACGCUUCAUCCUGUCCAGCCUCAGUCAUAUGGACUGAAUCCAAAAGGGCUUUUAGGGAGUAAAGCAAUACAAAGCAGCAUCUGGUCUGUGGGACUAGUUACAUCUACCACAGCUGGGAAGAGCAGGGGAAUAAUCAACUCAAGUGUUCGUUCCUCAGGGCCCGUAGUGGAGGGCAGAUGGGGGCAGGCAUGGGAGGUAAAGGUCUGUGUUAGGAUAAAAAGUGACAAGCAAGACGGCGCUGAUGAGAAGCACAGAGCAGCUGUCCCAAGGAGCAGUUGUGCUGCACCCAUGAGUUGAGAACUUUUUGCUAACAGGCACCUCACACAUCCUGCUCUUUCAGCAAGCAAAGAGACACACAAUACAUCUGGGCUCAGGCAAGAACAGGAAGGUGUUUAUUCAGGUGUGAUGCUCACAUGCAUCACAUUGCAUUCGUUUUACAUAAGAAAAGUCAGCCAAGAAGCAGAAUUAAAAAAAAUG